UUAUGAAAUGUAUGCAUAAGUUGCUCUGGAUAAGAGCGUCUGCUAAAUGACUAAAA
rfam:Salmo salar isolate Sally breed double haploid chromosome ssa17, whole genome shotgun sequence.